rnacentral:lncRNA from 1 species
CAGGGCUUCAGGUGACUCCCAGGUUUCUGGCGUAGGCAGCUGGGUAGAUGCUAGUGCCUCAGUAGGGGCCAGAGCAAGUUUGGGGGGUUGGAGGAUUAAUGAGCUAUAGAUUUUGAGGUAUUAUGCUUGCAGUGCCUGUGGACUUUCCAGAGGGAGACAUCUGGAAGGCUGCAAAAUCCCUGCAUCUGGAGUGGAACAUCUGGGAGCCGUCUGCAGCACAGGGAUGCUGGGGAAACUGUGACCCAGAAAUGGACAGUCAUCAACUAAAAGUCACAGAGCAAGUCAAUGGGAGAGAUGGGGCUAAACUCCAGGAGUCCCUAUGUCCAGCCCAGGGUUCAGUCCCUCUGUCAAGCACCUGCUAUUGUCUGUUAAAUACUUGGAGGAGCUGAAAUUUCCAGCCUGAAGAGUAGCAGUCUCAGAGGCCUCUGUCUCCAGAUAUCUGCAGGGCUGCACCAGAUCAGAGAGAGAAACUGUGCUCUGUGCCCUCUGAGCAUGGAGCUGAGGAUGAUGAAAAGAGUCACUGGGAGGCUGGAUUUGGUUCAGUGAGAGAAAGCUGUCUAGUGAUGACAGAGAUGACCCUGAAAGGUGGUGAGCUUCCCAUUCCCAGAGGUAUGUGAAUAGAAACCUUGAGCUUCCAGAAGGAGGUGGGCAGUGAGAGGUGUUGCAGGCAUGUUUUGCCAGCCACACAUUGGACACCCCUUGCUCAGUCAAGAAGCCACAUCCAAACCCUCGGACCCUUUCACACUUGGAGCUUUUGUUUGAAAGGUCAGACUUCAACCCUCAAAAUGAAGAUGACUUUAAAAAGCUGGAGAUGGACCAAAAAGUAAACAAAAUGCAAUUAUAAUUUCAUAGAUGGAAAGUAAAACAAAUUUUUUUAAAAAGAAGAAGGAAAUAAAAUAAUACAUAAAUGGG